AAAUAGAUUAAAAUAAUUAAGGGCACACAAAGGAUGCCUUGGUAGUAAGAGCCGAUGAAGGACGUGGUAAGCUGCGAUAAGCCUAGAUAAGUUGCAAUCGAACGUAAGAGUCUAGGAUUUCCGAAUGGAGCAAUCUAUUAAGAUGGAGUCUUAAUACGAAAGAGGGAACCGCGUGAACUGAAACAUCUAAGUAACGCGAGGAAAAGAAAGUAAAAACGAUACCCAAAGUAGCGGCGAGCGAAACGGGUCAAGCCUAAACCUUAAAUAUGUCAAGGAUACAGCCGUUGUAUUUAGGGGGUUGAGGGACAGAGUGAUGAAGAACUGUAAGAUAUUCAAUAUAGUGUAUUGAUGAACUAGAAUAGUCUGGAAAGGUUAACCGUAGAAGGUGAAAGUCCUGUAUAGGUAAAUCCUUACACAUAUAACUUUGAUCCCAAGUAACAUGGAACACGAGGAAUUCUGUGUGAAUCAGUGAGGACCAUAUCUCAUAAGGCUAAAUACUCUUACUAACCGAUAGCGCAUAGUACCGUGAGGGAAAGGUGAAAAGAACCCCUGGAGGGGAGUGAAAUAGAACCUGAAAUUGUGUGCUUACAAGCGGUCAGAGCCAGUAAUGGUGAUGGCGUGCCUUUUGGAGAAUGAUCCUGCGAGUUACGUUAAACGGCAAGGUUAAGUAUUACGGAGCCGAAGGGAAACCAAGUCUUAAUAGGGCGAUUUAGUCGUUUGGCGUAGACGCGAAACCUGGUGAUCUAAACCUGUCCAGGAUGAAGCUGUGGUAAGACACAGUGGAGGUCCUAACCCACCGCCGUUGAAAAGUUGGGGGAUGAGGUAGGUUUAGGGGUGAAAAGCCAAUCGAACCAGGAGAUAGCUCGUUCUCUCCGAAAUGCAUCUAGGUGCAGCCUUGAGUGUUCAAUUAUGGGGGUAGAGCACUGAAUGAUCUAGGGGGCAUAUUGCUUACUGAAAUCAAUCAAACUCCGAAUACCAUAAUUUAUAGCUCAGGAGUGAGACUAUGGGAGUUAACUUCCAUUGUCAAAAGGGAAACAACCCAGACCACCAGCUAAGGUCCCUAAUUAUAACUAAGUGGGAAAGGAGGUGGAGAUUCACAAACAACUAGGAGGUUGGCUUAGAAGCAGCCAUACCUUUAAAGAGUGCGUAAUAGCUCACUAGUCGAGAGUCUCUGCGCCGACAAUGUAACGGGGCUAAGUUAUAAACCGAAGCUGUGGAAUCCGUAAGGAUUGGUAGGAGAGCGUUCUGUAGGCCGUUGAAGGAGAAGGGUAACCGACUUUGGAGGUAUCAGAAGUGAGAAUGCAGGAAUAAGUAGCGAGAAAGGGGGCGAGAAUCCCCCUCGCCGGAAGACCAAGGUUUUCAGGGUAAAGCUUGUCUUCCCUGAGUAAGCCGGGACCUAAGCCCAGGCUAUAAUGCGUAGGCGAAUGGAAAACAGAUUAAUAUUUCUGUGCCAGUCAUAUAUUGUGAUGGAGGGACGCAGAAGGGUAUGCGCGCGGACGAACGGAAGUGUCCGUAGAAGUAUGUAGGAUGACUUAGUAGGAAAAUCCAUUAAGUUAUAUCUGAGGUAUGAUAUAUAGUCGUAAGAUGAAUGCGCAAAUCCCACGCUGCCAAGAAAAGCUUCUAACGUUAAUUUAUGACUGCCCGUACUGCAAACCGACACAGGUGGUCAGGAUGAGAAAUCUAAGGCGGACAGGCUAACUCUCGUUAAGGAACUCUGCAAAAUAACCUCGUAACUUCGGGAGAAGAGGAGCCCUUGGGUGUUAGUAUCCAUGCGAUACAAAGCGCUCGAGGGUCGCAGUGAAGAGGCUCAAGCAACUGUUUAACAAAAACACAGGUCUAUGCUAAGCUGGAAGGCGAUGUAUAUGGGCUGACACCUGCCCAGUGCUGGAAGGUUAAGAGGAGGAGUGAGAGCUCCGAAUUGAAGCCCCAGUGAACGGCGGCCGUAACUAUAACGGUCCUAAGGUAGCGAAAUUCCUUGUCGGGUAAGUUCCGACCUGCACGAAUGGUGUAAUGAUUUGAGCGCUGUCUUGACGGGAGGCCUGGUGAAAUUGUAUUACCGGUGAAGAUACCGGUUACCUACAGUAGGACGGAAAGACCCCAUGGAGCUUUACUGUAGCUUGGUAUUGGGUUUUGGCAUUGCAUGUAUAGGAUAGUUGGGAGACUGAGAUGAUAUGGCGCUAGCUGUAUCGGAGUCAUCGGUGGAAUACCAACCAUUCAAUGCUGAAAUUCUAAUCUGUGGUUUGUAGCCACGGAGACAGUGCUAGGUGGGCAGUUUGACUGGGGCGGUCGCCUCCGAAAGAGUAACGGAGGCGUUCAAAGGUUCUCUCAGGUUGGAUGGAAAUCAACCAUAGAGUGCAAUGGCAUAAGAGAGCUUGACUGCAAGACUGACGGGUCGAGCAGAUGCGAAAGCAGGACAUAGUGAUCCGGCGAUUCCGAAUGGAAGGGUCGUCGCUCAACGGAUAAAAGCUACCCUGGGGAUAACAGGCUGAUCCUACCCGAGAGUCCAUAUCGACGGUAGGGUUUGGCACCUCGAUGUCGGCUCAUCGCAUCCUGGGGCUGGAGAAGGUCCCAAGGGUUGGGCUGUUCGCCCAUUAAAGCGGUACGUGAGCUGGGUUCAGAACGUCGUGAGACAGUUCGGUCCCUAUCCACUGUAGGCGUUAGAAUAUUGAGAAGACCUGUCCUUAGUACGAGAGGACCGGGAUGGACAAACCUCUGAUGUACCAGUUGUCACGCCAGUGGCACAGCUGGGUAGUCACGUUUGGAAUAGAUAACCGCUGAAAGCAUCUAAGCGGGAAACUAACUUCAAGAUAAGUAUUCUUUAAGAUACCUUCGAGCCUAGGAGGUUGAUAGGUUGGGGGUGUAAGUACAGCAAUGUAUUUAGCUGACCAAUACUAAUUAUCGAAGUUUUAAUCUAAUUUGUUUUUACUAUAUAGUUUC
rnacentral:rRNA from 1 species